rnacentral:rRNA from 1 species
UACAGAGGGGGCAAGCGUUGUUCGGAUUCACUGGGCGUAAAGGGUGCGUAGGUGGUUGGGUAAGUCUGAUGUGAAAUCUCCGGGCUCAACCCGGAAAUGGCAUUGGAUACUAUUCGGCUAGAGGUUUGGAGGGGGGACUGGAAUUCUCGGUGUAGCAGUGAAAUGCGUAGAUAUCGAGAGGAACACCAGUGGCGAAGGCGAGUCCCUGGACAACACCUGACACUGAGGCACGAAAGCUAGGGGAGCAAACAGG